GCCUGGGUGACUCAGUUGGUUGAGUGUCUGACUUCGGCUCAGGUCAUGAUCUAACAGUUUGUGGGUUCGAGCCCUGCAUCAGGCU
rfam:Felis catus isolate Cinnamon breed Abyssinian chromosome A1, whole genome shotgun sequence.